rnacentral:ncRNA from 1 species
UUGAAGCCGAGGGGCCUAGUGGAAACGUCAGGUGACGUCACACGGAAACGGUAACUAGUGAGCCCGCUCUACAACCUUGUCUGAUGACGGUGUAGUGAAAUACUAGGUCAUGCGAAUGGCCAAUCAGAUAGUAGCAAG